rnacentral:tRNA from 1 species
UAGAUGAAUGCUCGCUGGCUGGAGCGCUUAGCUGUUAACUAGGAACUUGAGGGAUCGAGGCCCUCUCAUCUAU